rnacentral:tRNA from 1 species
ACUACUUAAGUCGAAUGAGAGGCGUCAGGAUGAUACCCUGGAAGAAGAGGUUAGCCUCAAGUAGUA